CCUACGGGAGGCAGCAGUGAGGAAUAUUGGUCAAUGGACGAGAGUCUGAACCAGCCAAGUAGCGUGAAGGAUGACUGCCCUAUGGGUUGUAAACUUCUUUUAUAUGGGAAUAAAACGUUCCACGUGUGGGAUUUUGUAUGUACCAUAUGUAUAAGGAUCGGCUAACUCCGUGCCAGCAGCCGCGGUAAUACGGAGGAUUCGAGCGUUAUCCGGAUUUAUUGGGUUUAAAGGGAGCGUAGGUGGAUUGUUAAGUCAGUUGUGAAAGUUUGCGGAUCAACCGUAAAAUUGCAGUUGAAACUGGAAGUCUUGAGUGCAGUAGAGGUGGGCGGAAUUCGUGGUGUAGCGGUGAAAUGCUUAGAUAUCACGAAGAACUCCGAUUGCGAAGGCAGUUCACUGGACUGUAACUGACACUGAGGCUCGAAAGUGUGGGUAUCAAACAGGAUUAGAUACCCUUGUAGUC
rnacentral:rRNA from 1 species